rnacentral:rRNA from 1 species
AACGAACGCUGGCGGCGUGCUUAACACAUGCAAGUCGAACGGAAAGGCCCUGCUUUUGUGGGGUGCUCGAGUGGCGAACGGGUGAGUAACACGUGAGUAACCUGCCCUUGACUUUGGGAUAACUUCAGGAAACUGGGGCUAAUACAGGAUAGGAGCUCCUGCUGCAUGGUGGGGGUUGGAAAGUUUCGGCGGUUGGGGAUGGACUCGCGGCUUAUCAGCUUGUUGGUGGGGGAGUGGCUUACCAAGGCUUUGACGGGUAGCCGGCCUGAGAGGGUGACCGGCCACAUUGGGACUGAGAUACGGCCCAGACUCCUACGGGAGGCAGCAGUGGGGAAUAUUGCACAAUGGGCGGAAGCCUGAUGCAGCAACGCCGCGUGCGGGAUGACGGCCUUCGGGUUGUAAACCGCUUUCGCCUGUGACGAAGCGUGAGUGACGGUAAUGGGUAAAGAAGCACCGGCUAACUACGUG